rnacentral:rRNA from 1 species
ACGGGUAGCCGGCCUGAGAGGGCGACCGGCCACACUGGGACUGAGACACGGCCCAGACUCCUACGGGAGGCAGCAGUGGGGAAUAUUGCACAAUGGGCGAAAGCCUGAUGCAGCGACGCCGCGUGAGGGAUGACGGCCUUCGGGUUGUAAACCUCUUUCAGCAGGGAAGAAGCGAAAGUGACGGUACCUGCAGAAGAAGCGCCGGCUAACUACGUGCCAGCAGCCGCGGUAAUACGUAGGGCGCGAGCGUUGUCCGGAAUUAUUGGGCGUAAAGAGCUCGUAGGCGGCUUGUCACGUCGGUUGUGAAAGCCCGGGGCUUAACCCCGGGUCUGCAGUCGAUACGGGCAGGCUAGAGUUCGGUAGGGGAGAUCGGAAUUCCUGGUGUAGCGGUGAAAUGCGCAGAUAUCAGGAGGAACACCGGUGGCGAAGGCGGAUCUCUGGGCCGAAACUGACGCUGAGGAGCGAAAGCGUGGGGAGCGAACAGGAUUAGAUACCCUGGUAGUCCACGCCGUAAACGGUGGGCACUAGGUGUGGGCGACAUUCCACGUCGUCCGUGCCGCAGCUAACGCAUUAAGUGC